GAGGAGCUCUAAGAUGCGGACUACAGAAUGAAAUAAAGAUUUUCAUAGAGCUUGACUGAAAGCAGGAGAACAACUUUACAUGGACACCACAGACCAGACUGGACUCCUUGACCAGUGGCCGAAAGCCUGCUUUCCAGGACUGUUUUGUAUUCUGUGCAUGGAAGAAGUGUGUGUGUGUGUUUACAGUGCUGUAUGUGCUCUGGUCCGGUAAAUCAUUCACAUCCGUUGUAAAUGGUUUUUAUUAGCUGCUGUCUGUGUCAUUUAAAUACCUAUCCCACCCACUGUUAACUGAGAACAAAGAUAGUAUGUCCGUCACUCCCACUGCAGGGCGACACAGAGAGGGGAGCAUGUCCGUUCCUCCCACUGCAGGGCAACACAGAGAGGGGAGCAUGUCCGUUCCUCCCACUGCAGGGCGACACAGAGAGGGGAGCAUGUCCGUUCCUCCCACUGCAGGGCGACACAGAGAGGGGAGCAUGUCCGUUCCUCCCACUGCAGGGUGACACAAGAGGGGAGCUAUAAAACUCCAUGCCUAUCCCUCCCACUGCAGGGCAAAGCAAGAGGGGAGCUAUGAAACUCCAUGCCUAUCCCUCCCACUGCAGGACGACGCAGAGAGGGGAGCUAUGAAACUCCAUGCCUAUCCCUCCCACUGCAGGGCAAAACAAGGGGGGAGCUAUGAAACUCAAUGCCUAUCCCUCCCACUGCAGGGUGACACAGAGAGGGGAGCUAUGAAACUCCAUGCCUAUCCCUCCCACUGCAGGACGACGCAGAGAGGGGAGCUAUGAAACUCCAUGCCUAUCCCUCCCACUGCAGGGUGACACAGAGAGGGGAGCUAUGAAACUCCAUGCCUAUCCCUCCCACUGCAGGGCGACACAGAGAGGGGAGCUAUGAAACUCCAUGCCUAUCCCUCCCACUGCAGGGCGACACAGAGAGGGGGCUAAGGAAUUCUUUGUCUGUGUCUCCAACUGCUGGGUGAUGGUCUGUGCUGUUGUGUAUAUAUUGCAGAAAAAAAUAGUAUAUAACAGUAUAGCUCCAAUUAUGAAUUUACAAAUUCAUAUACAGAAAUCACAGCUGGUCCUGUCUAUAUUAUUCAGUAGGAAGAGAGACCCAAGGCAGUCUCCCUACCGAGCUGAUCUAGCUAACACUAGACUGAUGAAAUCUAUUCUGCCCAAUUAAAAUUACUUUGUGCCGGCUUCUAGAAUACAUAUGGUUAGGCUGUAUAGUCCUGGUGUAUGUGGAUUUUUGUUAGAUAUAUGCUGUAAUGUAUAUAAUGUUGUCCCUUUUCUUUGUGAUCAUACUUCAUUUGGCCUAAAACAGUUUUCCUCCUGUUAUCUUCUAGACAAGCACCAUUGACCUUGUUGAAUGGGACAUUGCCGAGGUAUUGUAGUGCCCUGGCAAUCUUUCUGCCCACUCCUGUAUUUAUUUGAGAGAUAUAUAAUCCUGUAUCCUGUCCUGAUUGUGUCUUGGUGUUUCUUGUGGUUGAUACACAAACCGGUUAGUGUUUAUCAGACAUUGCCUUGGAAUCUUGUUUCCUAUUUAGAUUUGAAACUACAGGUAGUCACUUUUCAAGUCUUUUUUCCUACCAACUAAAUUUUGCUGUCAUCUCUGAAAUGUAUAAUUUUGAGAAUAAAGGAAGAAUUUAGGCGA